rnacentral:rRNA from 1 species
GAUGAACGCUGGCGGCGUGCCUAAUACAUGCAAGUCGAGCGAACGGACGAGAAGCUUGCUUCUCUGAUGUUAGCGGCGGACGGGUGAGUAACACGUGGAUAACCUACCUAUAAGACUGGGAUAACUUCGGGAAACCGGAGCUAAUACCGGAUAAUAUUUUGAACCGCAUGGUUCAAAAGUGAAAGACGGUCUUGCUGUCACUUAUAGAUGGAUCCGCGCUGCAUUAGCUAGUUGGUAAGGUAACGGCUUACCAAGGCAACGAUGCAUAGCCGACCUGAGAGGGUGAUCGGCCACACUGGAACUGAGACACGGUCCAGACUCCUACGGGAGGCAGCAGUAGGGAAUCUUCCGCAAUGGGCGAAAGCCUGACGGAGCAACGCCGCGUGAGUGAUGAAGGUCUUCAGAUCGUAAAACUCUGUUAUUAGGGAAGAACAUAUGUGUAAGUAACUGUGCACAUCUUGACGGUACCUAAUCAGAAAGCCACGGCUAACUACGUGCCAGCAGCCGCGGUAAUACGUAGGUGGCAAGCGUUAUCCGGAAUUAUUGGGCGUAAAGCGCGCGUAGGCGGUUUUUUAAGUCUGAUGUGAAAGCCCACGGCUCAACCGUGGAGGGUCAUUGGAAACUGGAAAACUUGAGUGCAGAAGAGGAAAGUGGAAUUCCCUGUGUAGCGGUGAAAUGCGCAGAGAUAUGGAGGAACACCAGUGGCGAAGGCGACUUUCUGGUCUGUAACUGACGCUGAUGUGCGAAAGCGUGGGGAUCAAACAGGAUUAGAUACCCUGGUAGUCCACGCCGUAAACGAUGAGUGCUAAGUGUUAGGGGGUUUCCGCCCCUUAGUGCUGCAGCUAACGCAUUAAGCACUCCGCCUGGGGAGUACGACCGCAAGGUUGAAACUCAAAGGAAUUGACGGGGACCCGCACAAGCGGUGGAGCAUGUGGUUUAAUUCGAAGCAACGCGAAGAACCUUACCAAAUCUUGACAUCCUUUGACAACUCUAGAGAUAGAGCCUUCCCCUUCGGGGGACAAAGUGACAGGUGGUGCAUGGUUGUCGUCAGCUCGUGUCGUGAGAUGUUGGGUUAAGUCCCGCAACGAGCGCAACCCUUAAGCUUAGUUGCCAUCAUUAAGUUGGGCACUCUAAGUUGACUGCCGGUGACAAACCGGAGGAAGGUGGGGAUGACGUCAAAUCAUCAUGCCCCUUAUGAUUUGGGCUACACACGUGCUACAAUGGACAAUACAAAGGGCAGCGAAACCGCGAGGUCAAGCAAAUCCCAUAAAGUUGUUCUCAGUUCGGAUUGUAGUCUGCAACUCGACUACAUGAAGCUGGAAUCGCUAGUAAUCGUAGAUCAGCAUGCUACGGUGAAUACGUUCCCGGGUCU